rnacentral:lncRNA from 12 species
GCGCAACUUUGGGCGGACGGCGAGGGGCGCGGAGGGCGCGCGCUGCCCCGGGGCGCGGGGCGCGGGGCGCGGGGAGCCGGGGCCGGGCCGGGCCGGGGCGCGGGCCCCGCUGCUGAGCGCGCUGCGAGCUCCGAGGGCCGCCCGGACGUCUAAGAGCGGCGGCGAGGCGAGGCGAGGCGAGGCGAGGCGAGCCGAGGCCGAGCGCUAGUCCCCAGGCGCCCGGGGGAGCGGGUGCUUAUCUUUCAUUGAGAAACCAAUUAGAGCCGCCCGGCCUCCCCGGAGACCCCCUCCCGCGCGCCCUCGGCCGCCCGCUCCCCGAGAGCCCCCCGCGCGCCCGCUCGCAGCUGCAGGCCUGGCCCGGGGCGCCCGCCCUCACCCCAUCACACGGGGCGCUCGCUCGUCCACGCUAUAUGGUACCAAAGGCGAGGGGUGGGGUGGGGGGAGCUUUAUGCCACUUGAUCCUUGAAAUAGCAACAAUUACCAUGUGAUCCUGCAGAUGACGCAGCGCUUGUAACUGGAGCCUAAAGACUUGGUGGGGUGUGUGCGCGCGAGGCGCGGGGUGAGCUGUUCCCUGAACGCGAGGCUGCCUGGGGCCGGUGCAACCUGCAGACCUGCAGACCUCGGCCGCUGCUUGCACUUCUGACCUCCCCUCCGCCCUGGAUGAGGUGAGAUCUACACGGAGGAGAAACCACCAGCCACCGUGAAGGAAAGGGUCCCAGCCUGGACCAGCACGAAGGUGCCCGCCAGCUACCCCUCUCUCUCUCUGGUUUCUGCUGGGCCUCCUGAUGGCCAGCCCCACGCAACCCUGAGGGAAGAGAGCCCUCCUGGAGUAGUCCUCACGGGCAGCAGCCAGGGCCAGACAGCAGGUGCAGAAGGGCAGAGAGUGAAUUUGAGGAUCAAGUGGAAGAUCCCAGGCCUAAGAGUACACCUGCCCUACAGAAUCUUGGCAACGAUGGACGGAGAUGAUAUACGGGACACCCUAGAAAUAGUGUCUAGUGCUCAAAAAUUAUUACCUGUUGUUAUUUUAACACAUGCAUUUAUUUAUCCAAUAAAUGUUCAUUGGGAACUUCGUGGCUCUAGCCACCGUGUGAACAUGAACGGUGCUCCAGGGAGGCUCGCCACCCAGCUGCGCUCCUAAGAGGUAAACAUGGAGCGGACCUCGCAGGAGAAGCCCUAGUUGUAUCUAAGGUUGGGGUUCAGAUGUGUCUGGAGAAGUCCGGCAAGCUGGUGUGGGAGAGAGCUUUGGCCUCUCUUUUUAAGUGGCUCUUAGGGUCUUGUUGGGCAGCGGCAUGCUCCGACGGGAGAAGCAGAGGCCCACGAAGGCUGUGCAGUGACCGAGCUCCAGCCGUCAGAAGGCCGGCAGGGGGGUCACUCGGUGGCACAGCGGUUUAGUGCCUGCCUUUGGCCCAGGGCGCGAUCCUGGAGACCCGGGAUCGAAUCCCACAUCGGGCUCCUGGUGCUGCUUCUCCCGCUGCCUGUGUCUCUGCCCCUCUCUCUCUCUCUCUGUGUGACUAUCACAAAAUAAAUAAAUAAAUAAAUAAAUAAAUAAAUAAAUA